CUAGCCGUAAACGAUGGAUACUAGGCGUUGUGAGUAUCGACCCUCACAGUGUCGUAGCUAACGCGUUAAGUAUCUCGCCUGGGGAGUACGCGCGCAAGCGUGAAACUCAAAGGAAUUGACGGGGGCCCGCACAAGCGGUGGAGUAUGUGGUUUAAUUCGAUGCAACGCGAAGAACCUUACCAGGACUUGACAUGUCGCGAAUCUCAGGGAAACUUGAGAGUGCCUUCGGGAGCGCGAACACAGGUGGUGC
rnacentral:rRNA from 1 species